CGGGGCCCUAAAGAGGGCGUGACGUCACCGCGCGGGGUAUUCAGGGACCCAUCCCCCUCUCCUCUCCUUCCAGGAUCAGAUAAGUGGCUGUGGGUUUGUGAUUACAUUCAUAAGGCUCCUCUCCAGUGUGGGUUCUCUGAAGACCAGUAAGGAGUGAUUUGUAGCAGAAAGCCUUCCCACGUUCAUUACAUUUCUAAAGCACUUCUCUUGUAAGGGUAGUCUGAGGCCCAUCAAGAGCAGAGCUCCAGCCAGAGCCCUUCCCACGCUGAGGACAUGUAUGUCUUUUCAUUCCUGAGUGACAUCGAGGCUGGCAAGGAAGAGGAGCUCAUAGUAUCCUUGGAUUGUGGGAUGGCCUGCAGAACCUCCUAACCUGCCCAGUCUGUGGAAAUUAUCACAAGGAUCCUAUAACAAUGUUUUCUGGCAACACUGUCUGUCAGUCCUGUUAUCCACAAGAAUGCCCACCUGCAGGCCUCAACUGGAGGAUAAGAAGGAUAGUGACCCUGUUCAAGGAGAUGAAACCACUCCUGGAACAGCCCCAACCUGUCCCAGAGGGAUGGUGCCCCAAGCAUGAUGAGCCCUUCACCCUCCUAUGUCAAGAAGACAAUCAAAGAAUCUGCUAUGUCUGCCAAUACUCCUCCCUUCACAGUAAACAUACCCUGACUAAAUUAGAAGACCCAAAAGCAAGAGAAGCUUCCUGUGAAGAGGAGAAUGAGAUCUCCCUGCCACCUCCAGGCCACCAUUGAAUGCUCUUCCACUGGGUCUCCCAAGGGAUAGCAUGCAGGAACCCAAAUCACUGUGUUCACCUCCAUUGGCAUCCUCCAUGGAAAACAAAACUCAGUCCACCAUGGAGGCUGUUCUAAGGAAGAUAGCAGUGCCAUGGGAAGAAAUCCCCAAACUGGAGCUUCUUACCAGACUAGACUCUGAAAUGCUGGUCCUUGCCUGCCCCCUGCAGGUCUCUCUCAUUACUACCUGGAAGAUCUUUUCUGGAGAAGUCAUUUAAUAAAGUUUCUGCUCUACUCUAUUG